rnacentral:rRNA from 1 species
GCUUGCUCCACCGGAAAAAGAAGAGUGGCGAACGGGUGAGUAACACGUGGGUAACCUGCCCAUCAGAAGGGGAUAACACUUGGAAACAGGUGCUAAUACCGUAUAACAAUCGAAACCGCAUGGUUUUGAUUUGAAAGGCGCUUUCGGGUGUCGCUGAUGGAUGGACCCGCGGUGCAUUAGCUAGUUGGUGAGGUAACGGCUCACCAAGGCCACGAUGCAUAGCCGACCUGAGAGGGUGAUCGGCCACAUUGGGACUGAGACACGGCCCAAACUCCUACGGGAGGCAGCAGUAGGGAAUCUUCGGCAAUGGACGAAAGUCUGACCGAGCAACGCCGCGUGAGUGAAGAAGGUUUUCGGAUCGUAAAACUCUGUUGUUAGAGAAGAACAAGGAUGAGAGUAACUGUUCAUCCCUUGACGGUAUCUAACCAGAAAGCCACGGCUAACUACGUGCCAGCAGCCGCGGUAAUACGUAGGUGGCAAGCGUUGUCCGGAUUUAUUGGGCGUAAAGCGAGCGCAGGCGGUUUCUUAAGUCUGAUGUGAAAGCCCCCGGCUCAACCGGGGAGGGUCAUUGGAAACUGGGAGACUUGAGUGCAGAAGAGGAGAGUGGAAUUCCAUGUGUAGCGGUGAAAUGCGUAGAUAUAUGGAGGAACACCAGUGGCGAAGGCGGCUCUCUGGUCUGUAACUGACGCUGAGGCUCGAAAGCGUGGGGAGCAAACAGGAUUAGAUACCCUGGUAGUCCACGCCGUAAACGAUGAGUGCUAAGUGUUGGAGGGUUUCCGCCCUUCAGUGCUGCAGCUAACGCAUUAAGCACUCCGCCUGGGGAGUACGACCGCAAGGUUGAAACUCAAAGGAAUUGACGGGGGCCCGCACAAGCGGUGGAGCAUGUGGUUUAAUUCGAAGCAACGCGAAGAACCUUACCAGGUCUUGACAUCCUUUGACCACUCUAGAGAUAGAGCUUCCCCUUCGGGGGCAAAGUGACAGGUGGUGCAUGGUUGUCGUCAGCUCGUGUCGUGAGAUGUUGGGUUAAGUCCCGCAACGAGCGCAACCCUUAUUGUUAGUUGCCAUCAUUCAGUUGGGCACUCUAGCAAGACUGCCGGUGACAAACCGGAGGAAGGUGGGGAUGACGUCAAAUCAUCAUGCCCCUUAUGACCUGGGCUACACACGUGCUACAAUGGGAAGUACAACGAGUCGCGAAGUCGCGAGGCUAAGCUAAUCUCUUAAAGCUUCUCUCAGUUCGGAUUGUAGGCUGCAACUCGCCUACAUGAAGCCGGAAUCGCUAGUAAUCGCGGAUCAGCACGCCGCGGUGAAUACGUUCCCGGGCCUUGUACACACCGCCCGUCACACCACGAGAGUUUUAACACCCGAAGUCGGUGAGGAACCUUUGAGCCAGCCG